rnacentral:lncRNA from 1 species
GAAAAAACCUGUUUAUUAAACAAGCAAUUUUAAACAAUAUUAAACAAUAAAACUUCUUGCCACUCCAAGAGAGAGACAAACUCAGGAAAAAAUCCCCUGGGUUGCCGCUGGGCUCACUCAGUCUCUGAUCAGUCCCUCCGGCGCUGGAAAUGCUGCGGCCCAGGCCCGGCCCGCUGGGCCACAGGUGCUGCUGCUGCUGCUCUUCUGGUGUUCAGUCCAGAGCAGGUCCAGAGAAAGGGAAAAAAACACAGUCCAGGGAACUUCUUUGCCUCAGCUAGCUAAAACUAACUAGGAAAAGAAAGAAAGGAGAGCUCUCUCUCGCUGUCUGUCCAUCCGCAGACGACACAGUCCAGCAGGAGGAAUGUGGAGGAGGGAGUGCAGUUCUUGAAAACAAACUCCCGCUUCUUCCCCCCUCCCUUUCACUCCUGGAACAAGUCUUAAAGGUGCAGAACUUAUUAUUCAAUAUAGACAGAGCAGACGAUUGGGGAUAAAGGCAUCAUACAGUCAACCUAGGACAUUCCACCCCUUAUCCCCAUAUCGUCAGCUUACUACUAAAACUAAUAUAUAUAUAUAUUCAAACCCUACAAACACAUAUAUUAUACAUCCAAUAUACAGCUAUACACAGACAAUGGCAGUAAUAUUCAGAAAACAGUGAUAUUUACACAAAGUUCUCACCCAACAAUCAGAUCUCCCUGAGGUACACAUUGUGUUCUUCCAUCUUUCUGCAUUAUCCACCAUGUACAACCUGGUCCCUGUGCAAAGACAAUCCCACGAAUGGGUUUGUCUGUACUUGAGGCAGAAUUGAUCCACACUGUCUUCCCUAACAAACCUCUGACAUGCACUACUGGGACUUUGUCUCCAUCUACUAUAUGCAAAAGUUGAGAUUGGGCAGGGCCCAAUCGACUGGUAGAGCCUCGGGUGUUAACUAACCAGGUGGCUUUUGCCAGAUUCUGCUCCCAAUUCUUGAAAGAUCCCCCACCCAAUGCUUUCAAGGUGGUUUUUAACAGUCCAUUGUACCUCUCCACCUUUCCUGCAGCUGGUGCAUGGUAGGGGAUGUGGUACACCCACUCAAUGCCAUGUUCCUUAGCCCAGAUGUUAAUAAGACUAUUCUUGAAAUGAGUCCCAUUGUCUGAUUCAAUCCUCUCAGGGGUACCAUGCCUCCAAAGGAUCUGCUUCUCAAGGCCCAGAAUGGUGUUACGGGCCGUAGCAUGAGGCACAGGAUAGGUUUCCAACCAUCCAGUGGUGGCUUCUACCAUGGUGAGCACAUAACGCUUGCCGUGGCGUGUCUGGGGCAGUGUGAUGUAGUCAAUCUGCCAGGCCUCCCCAUACUUGUACUUGGACCACCGCCCACCAUACCAUAGGGGCUUCACCCGCUUGGCCUGUUUGAUGGUAGCGCAUGUCUCACAGUCAUGGAUCACCUGAGAAAUACUGUCCAUGGUUAAAUCCACCCCUCGGUCUCGUGCCCACUUAAAAGUGGCAUCUCUACCCUGAUGGCCUGAGGCAUCAUGGGCCCAUCGUGCUAAGAACAAUUCCCCCUUGUGUUGCCAAUCGAGGUCUGUCUUUGAUACCUCUAUCUUUGCAGCCUGGUCUACCUGCUGGUUGUGUUGGUGCUCCUUAUUGGCUCUGCUCUUGGGGACAUGGGCAUCUACAUGGCGAACUUUCACAGAUAGCUUCUCUACCCUGGUAGCAAUGUCUUUCCACUCAUCAGCAGCCCAAAUUGGUUUUCCUCUACGCUGCCAAUUAGCUUUUUUCCACCUCUCCAGCCACCCCCACAGAGCAUUGGCUACCAUCCAUGAAUCAGUGUAGAGGUAGAGCUUCGGCCACUUCUCCCUUUCAGCAAUGUCCAGGGCUAGUUGAACGGCUUUGAGUUCUGCGAGUUGACUUGAGCCACCCUCCCCUUCUGUAGCUUCUGCAACCUGUCGUGUGGGACUCCAUACAGCUGCUUUCCAUUUCCGUUUCAUUCCCACAAUGCGGCAAGAACCAUCAGUGAAAAGAGCGUAAUGUGUUUCUUCUGCUGGCAGUUGGUUAUAUGGUGGCGCUUCUUCAGCAUGUGUCACUUGUUCUUCUUCUUCAUCAGCGAGACCAAAGUUUUCACCUUCAGGCCAGUUUGUAAUUAUCUCUAAAAUCCCAGGGCGAUUCAGUUUUCCAAUCCGGGCGCGUUGCGUGAUAAGGGCAAUCCACUUGCUCCAUGUGGCAUUGGUGGCAUGGUGGGUAGAGGGAACCUUUGCUUUGAACAUCCACCCCAACACUGGUAGUCGGGGUGCCAGGAGGAGUUGUGCUUCUGUACCUAUCACCUCUGAGGCGGCCUGGACUCCUUCAUAGGCUGCUAAAAUUUCCUUCUCUGUUGGAGUAUAGUUGGCUUCAGACCCUCUAUAGCUCCGACUCCAAAAUCCCAGUGGUCGGCCUCGAGUCUCAUCAGGCACCUUCUGCCAAAGGCUCCAGGACAAACCAUGGCUCCCAGCUGCAGAGUAGAGCACAUUCUUUACAUCUGGUCCUGUCCUGACUGGGCCAAGGGCUACUGCAUGCGCGAUCUCUUGCUUGAUCUGGGUGAAGGCUUGCUGCUGUUCAGGGCCCCAGUGGAAAGUGUUCUUCUUGCGGGUGACCAGGUAGAGAGGGCUCACGAUCUGGCUAUACUCAGGAAUGUGCAUUCUCCAAAAACCAAUGGCGCCUAAGAAAGCUUGUGUCUCUUUCUUGUUGGUUGGUGGGGACAUGGCUGUGAUCUUGUUGAUGACAUCUGUAGGAAUCUGACGCCGUCCAUCUUGCCACUUCACUCCCAGGAACUGGAUCUCUCGAGCAGGUCCCUUAACUUUGCUCUUCUUGAUGGCAAAACCAGCUUUCAGGAGAAUUUGGAUGAUUCUCUCUCCUUUCUCAAACACCUCUGCUGCUGUCUUCCCCCACACAAUGAUAUCAUCAAUAUACUGUAGAUGUUCUGGAGCCUCACCCUUUUCUAGUGCAGUCUGAAUCAGUCCAUGGCAGAUGGUGGGGCUGUGCUUCCACCCCUGGGGCAGUCGGUUCCAGGUGUACUGCACGCCCCUCCAGGUGAAAGCAAACUGAGGCCUGCAUUCUGCUGCCAGAGGAAUGGAGAAAAAUGCAUUGGCAAUAUCAAUAGUGGCGUACCACUUCGCUGCCUUGGACUCCAGCUCGUACUGGAGUUCUAGCAUGUCUGGCACAGCAGCGCUCAGUGGUGGAGUCACUUCAUUCAACGCACGGUAGUCCACAGUCAAUCUCCAUUCUCCUUCAGAUUUACGCACAGGCCAGAUGGGGCUGUUGAAAGGUGAGUGGGUUUUGCUGACCACCCCUUGGCUCUCCAGCUCACGGAUCAUUUUGUGGAUGGGGAUCACGGCAUCUCGAUUCGUUCGGUAUUGCCGGCGGUGCACCAUUGAGGUGGCAAUUGGUACUCGUUGAUCUUCUACCUUCAAGAGUCCUACUGCAGAUGGGUUUUCUGAUAGUCCAGGUAAGCUGUUCAAUUGCUUGAUGCCCUCUGUCUCUACAGCUGCUAUCCCAAAUGCCCACCUGAGUCCCUUUGGGUCUUUGAAAUACCCACUUCGGAGAAAGUCUAUGCCUAAAAUACAUGGGGCCUCUGGGCCAGUCACAAUGGACUGUUUCUUCCACUCAUUUCCAGUCAGGCUGAUCUCAGCUUCCACUGAAGUAAAGUCCUGUGAUCCCCCUGUCACACCAGCAAUAGAAACAUGUUCUGCCCCCACAUAUUUUGAUGGGAUUAAUGUGCACUGUGCACCAGUGUCGACCAAAGCUUUAUAUACUUGUGGUUCUGAUGUGCCAGGCCAACGAAUCCACACAGUCCAAAAAAUACGGUUUUCCCUAGCCUCUACCUGGCUAGAGGCAGGGCCCCUCUAAGCCUGGUUAUCCUUCUUUCCUGGGGCAUAUGUCUUGGAGGUUCCUUCAAGGGGAUCGAAAAUAUCGUCAUCAUCAUCAUAUACGGCAGUUUGAUUAUGAGUCACUGGAGCUGCUUCCCUUUUGGUGAAAAUUCCUUUCGGAGUCUUGCCUCCCUUCAAUUCACGCACCCGUUGUGCCAGAGCACCAGUAGGUUUCCCAUCCCAUUUCCUCAUAUUUUCUCCACAAUCACGCAGGAAGAACCACAGCUCAGCUCGUGAGAUGUGCCUUCUUUCCCCAUCUGGGGACCGUCUGUGUUGGGUACCAGGACCUCUGAUUUGUAUUGCUGAGACUUGGAGAAAACCCUCUUUCAUCUCCUCCCUGAGUUUCUUAUGAUUUUCCUCUAUCUCAUCUUUUAGUGUCUGCAGACAUGCUUCCACUGCUGCAAUUCUGGCAUGGGUUGGGCCAUGUACAGCAUCUGCAUAUGCUCGGAGCUUCUUUGCCAUAUCGAGCACAGUCUCCUCACCCUCAUCUCGCUUCAUUAUUGCUGCAGCAGAAGCAUAUUCUUGUGGCCCAAGUCUUACAAGUUUUCGCCACAUCACGGAUGUACACGGUACCAAGUCUGGAUUUACAGUAUCUACAUCAUUCGAGAAGACAAUCUCUGCCACUGCCAUUUCCCUCAAGCGUUGGAUCCCUUGUUCUAUAGUCUUCCACUGGGUCUGCUGCAUAUAAAGAUCAUCUGCACACAGGUAUCUUUGUGCUACACUUUCCAGAACCCGUGCCCAGAGGCUGCGAGGGUUAGCCCCCCUCAUCAUUCCUUGGUCAAUGACAGGAUCAUGUGAUAGGGAUCCCAAAUGUCUCGCUUCACUACCAUCCAGAAUUGUAGCCUCGCCUGCAGCAUCCCAAAGACGGACCAACCAACUAAUUAUAGACUCAUCAGGUCGUCGGGUGUAAUCCUUUCUUAGGCCACGAAGGUCCUUCAGGGAAUAGGACUCAGGGGUGGCUUCUGAUCCUGCCUCAGUUGCCCUAACCUCGUCUUUUGUGUCAGUAAUUAGCUUUGAGGGUCCUUCUCCUGGAUCAUCAUCGUCAGUCCCUGGCCGGUCGGUUUUGCUUUUCUUCUUCCCCGCAGCAACUGCCAGUGGCUUAGGAUUACUGUCUGGUUUAGCUACAGACUGAGUAACUGGGGUGUUGUCUGCAGCCUGAGUGACUGGGAUAGCUGCUGGUUUAUCUCCCUGCCCCCCUUCCUCUGUCUGCCGGCCUACAGUAUCUAGCAGUGUGCGAUAAGCAUAAGCCAAGGCCCAGCUUAUUGCAAUGAUCCUUUUCUCAUUAGAGUCAUCAUGGCACUUCUCUUUCAGAUAUUUCCCCACUUCAGCUGGGUUUUGAAUUUGUUCACGUGGAAAAUCCCACUCCACAGGGUCAGAAAAUUCUUUCAGGAUCUGGCCCAUAUUUUCCCAUUCUCCACACCACUCAGGAUUUUCCACACCUGGGUGAGGGGCUUCAUCAGCUCCUCUGGACAUCUCAGCCUUCACUCUAGAGAAGCUGCAGGCUGUAUAAAGGAAGUUUACCAGAAUAGAUACCAGAAAGAUGGUCUCUUUAACAUUCAGGGGAAACUGAACAUUCUCAAAAAGUGACAUAACAAAUUCAAAAGAGAAGAAGGAAAGGAGAGGCUGGAAAACCUCAUUCCCUGCUCCUCCUCUAACAAACUGGGUGCAAUUACUAAUAAAUCCCCAGAACAUACUACUGGAACUAGGAUGCAGGGUAGGACGAAAAAACCAUAAACUAUACAUAUCUUGAACAGACUCCAGUAUCUUUACAAGCACCUUAUAAAUCACUAUCACCAAGCCCAGCCCAAUAGCUAUUUUAAACUGUGCUCUUCUACUGUAAAAACUACGUGUAAGGGACAAGAAUCCUAGUGACCAGAAAAGUACUAAAACCUCAAAAAAGCCUAGAGACCAGAACCACAUUAAGGACUCUACCCCAAGAGACAUUAUGAAUGUAAGCAACAUGGCUACUGACUGCUUUAACCCACUAUAAAAUAAGCACAACCAACAUCCAAUCAGUAAAGGAAUAAAGGCUUUUUCCACUUUUUUUGAGCCCCAGUAGUUGGGCGCCAAUAAAUGUAUUUGUCCUGGUUCAGGUCAAAUUUGGGGAAAGAACCAUAAAAGGGUUUCCUUUAGGAAAGCAGACUCAAUCGGCCCCUCCCCCCCCCACCAACCAGUUCGGGAAGGAUACUUCUUGGAGGAAAGUGGAAAAAACCUGUUUAUUAAACAAGCAAUUUUAAACAAUAUUAAACAAUAAAACUUCUUGCCACUCCAAGAGAGAGACAAACUCAGGAAAAAAUCCCCUGGGUUGCCGCUGGGCUCACUCAGUCUCUGAUCAGUCCCUCCGGCGCUGGAAAUGCUGCGGCCCAGGCCCGGCCCGCUGGGCCACAGGUGCUGCUGCUGCUGCUCUUCUGGUGUUCAGUCCAGAGCAGGUCCAGAGAAAGGGAAAAAAACACAGUCCAGGGAACUUCUUUGCCUCAGCUAGCUAAAACUAACUAGGAAAAGAAAGAAAGGAGAGCUCUCUCUCGCUGUCUGUCCAUCCGCAGACGACACAGUCCAGCAGGAGGAAUGUGGAGGAGGGAGUGCAGUUCUUGAAAACAAACUCC